AUGCUGCGUCAGACUGAAUAUCUGCUAUGUCACGGCAGAACUGCUUCUCGGGCAGGGAAAGUGGAGUUGAUCAGUUGGUUGAGCUUAUCAAGGUCUCGGGAUACUCCAACAAGGGAAGAGAUCAAGUGCAUAAAUCCAAACUACACGAAGUUCGAGUUCUCCCGAAUUAAGACUCGUCCGUGGCACAAGCUUGAGCGCGCAUCUGGCCUGGAACUUGAACUUCGUGUAAUGCGCCUGGUAGCUGACCUCUCCCGACAGUGCCACCUCGAACAACCCCGUCGCGUUCUCCUAUCAGAAAAUGAACACGGAUGGAACUGA
rnacentral:rRNA from 1 species